rnacentral:tRNA from 1 species
UAAACACUGGAACGGCCGGUUUUCACAAACUGACUUUUAAUCAAGUUGUCGGGGGUUCGAAUCCCCCGUGCUUCA